rnacentral:rRNA from 1 species
GACGAACGCUGGCGGCGUGCUUAACACAUGCAAGUCGAACGGAAAGGCCCUGCGUUUGUGGGGUGCUCGAAAGGCGAACGUGUGAGUAACACGUGCGUAACCUGCCCUUGACUUUGGGAUAACUUCAUGAAACUAGGGCUAAUACCGGAUAGGAGCUCCUGCUGCGUGGUGGGGGUUGGAAAGUUUCGGCGGUUGGGGAUGGACCCGCGGCUUAUCAGCUUGUUGGUGGGGUAGUGGCUUACCAAGGCUUUGACGGGUAGCCGGCCUGAGAGGGUGACCGGCCACAUUGGGACUGAGAUACGGCCCAGACUCCUACGGGAGGCAGCAGUGGGGAAUAUUGCACAAUGGGCGGAAGCCUGAUGCAGCAACGCCGCGUGCGGGAUGACGGCCUUCGGGUUGUAAACCGCUUUCGCCUGUGACGAAGCGUGAGUGACGGUAAUUGGUAAAGAAGCACCGGCUAACUACGUG